AUGCGAAGAGCUUCGGUCCAAACUUUCGGGGAGAGGGUCGUAGGCUACGGACAAAGUGUGGUUUUGCAGUGGGUCCGACGAAUCAUGAAUGAAGGUGGGUCUCGAAUCUCCUAUUCUUCCCUUUUUACUUCUGGUGUUGAAGUUGUUGUGUGCCUUACAAUUGAAACCCGAUUGGGACUCGUGACGGUUUCCGACGAGAAGCUCAAAAGUUCAGCAGUCCCAAGUAUCUCAGGUACACAUCCUUUUUUUUUGCAUUUAUGUUCAUUCUGUUUGUGA